GGUGGAGAUUGCCUCAGUGGUUCCCAGCAGACCAAAGGCUUCCAUUUGGGCACUUUCCCUUAUCUGGCAACAAUGCUUCGUAUGUGGCUGCCACCAAUCACCCCCUCAUUGCUGUGUGGUUUGGAAGGGGAAAGAUAGCAGCAUUAGUGUCUAAAGCUGUGUGAAGAUCGCUAUGGAAGCAAUUACCGGAUGGAUUACCACUGCCUUUGCUGCUGUGAAGAGGCCACACUGGGUCACAGAUGCCAAGCGUAAAGAAGAGCAAAGCUCAGCUGGAGAAUGAGUGCAACUGUGGGCUCCUAAAUACUAAAUCAGCUGCCAUUCUUGCUGAAGCAUGGGAAGAUGGCUUUGACCUUCAUGCCUGGGAAGCAGCUCCCAUAUGCCCUGGAAUGGCUCGCAAGAAAAACAAGUGUUGUCUGCCUUUGAGGAAUCUCCUUUUUGUUACCCUUCUUACUGACCAUGAGUCUGCACUGUUCCCAAAUGCCUUUGACUUCUGAUGAUGCCGAGACUGAGUCUGGCUGGCAAGGGUAGAUGCUACCUUCCUUUCUUUUCUAAUUAAAGCACUGUGUAAUUGCUGCUGACCUUCGGAGGCCCACCCUAGGGCUUUCUUGCCUUCUGUCCCCCUAGUAUGUAAUAUCCAGCUUCUACUUUCCUGCCUUGGACAGGGUGCUGUAUGCAUCAUCCGGAUCCCCUCAGCUGUCAGAGGACACGUAGGUGUAUCAGAUCCACUGCAGCAGUGACAGGUGUCCCAAAUCUCAUCCUCAGUUGCUAUACUGAGCUGGUCUUGCUGUGUGUACCAGUGGGGAUGUUUGGAUGCUAUUCCUUCUUUGAGGAGGAGCAGAGGUCUAUCCAAGGAAGAUGGUGUUGGGAAUAACUUCUCAAGUCAAAGGCAGAUUUCUGUGCUGAAGUCAGACUUGUCUGUGGUGUGAUGUUGUUCAGAUGAGUGUCUGUAUCAGCUGGCUGUGAUGUAGGGUCGCUGUGGGGUGAGAUGGGGGGGGGGGCAUGGAAUUUCAGCAGACCCCUGCCACAGCAGAGCAGGAUAGAGACACUGCAACAGCCUUGGGCAGCACACAGCUGUUACAUGCAGUGCUGCUGAAGGCAGCUCACUGAUCUGCAGUGUUUUGCAGCACAGUGGUGAUGUGAGUCCUUCGCAGAACAUUCUCAAACCUGUGGCAGAGAGAGGGAUGAAAGCUGGACCAGGACUGCAGGGUGAUUUAACAGGCAGGAUGCAAACAGCCUCUCCUAACAGCAGUACUUCCCCCCAGCAUCCUACAGUGAUUUCUGUCUAAGCUGAGGGAGGACCUGCCCCAAGUUCAUUUUUCCUAAUUGCUGCUGGCAGACCCAUUAGUAAGGGUUCGCAGGUGCCAGCAGGCAGAAGGUGGCAAGCACUGACCUAGCUCAUCCUUUCUGGGUGGGUUGCGGCAGUGCUGGGAAGUGCUCUGAUCUGGAGGAUGUGCUGUUAUUAAAAUGAAGAAGAAGAAAAAAAUCAGCUUAGUGAUGAGAUCAGUACCAGCCACAAGAGUUUGGGAAGCACAAACCCCACUGGGAGAGGGAUGGGAUGAAAUAGGGCUGCAGACAUGAGACUCAGGGAAAAGCUUAUUGAGAAAAUCUCUGCCCAAGCGCACGUAGUUUAGAAUGAGCAAUUGAGCCAAGCAGACCUGAGGGGUCUUGGGGGAGCAGCAGACAGAGGGAGACAACUGAAAAUCCUCUCCUUCCUACUGCAUGCCUUCAGGCACAGACAGAGCUGGGGAUUCUCUUUUCUCCAGUCAGCAGCUUGGUUUGUGCUGACCUCCUAAAUAUUCAGCUCAUUAUACAGUGUAACGUAUAAAUAAAACAGAAGCAGGCAGCAAUAUUCUCCAGGAGCAUAUAAUCGGCUUCCUUUCCUUUUUAAUUAUACAGGAUUUGUCUUCAUGUGUCAGGCUAGCCUGUGAACUAAUUUAUUAUUUUAAAGAAUUAAAAGCCUGAUCUUCGUGCAGCAAGGUGCUCCUGCACAGCUGCAUGUGCACACCUGAUUUUGGGGGCAGGUAGAGGAUGAAAAGCAUCUUUUGGUCUGUGAACUCAAGGGAGUCAGUAGUUGUGUGUUGCUUCUAGAGGUCAGAAAUAUGAACCCUGGGGUUAGGAGAGGCGGGCAGAGGAGCGGAAGCUCUGUUCUUGCAGCUCAACUGCAUGAUGCCAAAGACUGGAAGAAGAGGUGACUUCUUAGUGUGGUUUUAGUAAAGGCAAGCAAGUACCAAUCCCAUCUGUGAACCCUCCUGCCUCAUGCAUAGUGGGGGAUGCAAUGGGUAGGAGGACAGGGGAAGUAUUGGGUUUCUGCUCCUUGAAGGGAGAGAUAGAGACACUCUUAUGGGAGACUCCUUGGCGUUGUGAAUAAGUGAAGAUCUAAUGGAGAAUGGGGAAAUACGAGAUAGAAUGUUCAUAACUGAAUGAAAACAGGGCAAGAAAAGAUUACAUCCUCCCAACAAGACCAGAAGUUUGUGCCUGAUAGAAGGUGUAGGAGAGAAGAGUGGAGAAAGGCAAAUGCAUUCUUCUCUACCAUCACAGAGAGGCAGAACAUUCUGUUUCUGUCAUGUUGGAAACUACAGAGGUCACCCCAGAGACUUCUUUUUGUCCGGGGUGUGCAGUGCUGGCCAGAAGUAUGCAUUGUCUGUGCCCCACAGAAGCAAGAAGAUGUCAGACAAGGAGCAUUGUUCAUGUGUGACGCUCAGGCCCAGGCUGCCUACAGGACACAGGGGUAUGUUUUUAUCUGGCAUCACUGCUGGUACUGAAAGUGCUGGUUAAUGAUUAUGAGAUGAAACCUUUUUUCCUAGCAAAGCCCUGGAAACAAAAUCUGGCCUUUCAUCAAAGAAAUGAAUCUGUCAUCUUUUUCUCCCUUCAACUUAGUGUCUCCUGAUUUGCAAAUAAAUUUCCCAUGUUGGUGGCAGCCCUAGCUGUCCAUUUAAAAUUAAAGCUUUGGUACCCUUACUGGAAACUGCAUCAAUAAUCCUCUGGCACCAUUUUGUGCCUUCAUAUUCAACUGGUGAGUUUAGCAGAUAUGUGCCUGUGAAGGGUGUUUUGUAAGCCCGUGUAUUGUUUAUGGAGGAUACAAAUGGGAAAUGCACAGUGCUGGUCCUAGCUGUGAUCUACUAAAACAUGGUCCAUCUGCCUCAGCUCUGGGAUGGCUCCUUGUGCCAUAUCGCAUGCCAGCAGCCUAUGCUAAGCCCAGAUGAGCACGGGGGCACUGAGAUGAGGCCUUGGCAAUCCAGGUCAAGAACCAGAACAGGAAUAUUUCCAUCCAGGCAGUGCUUACGGACCUAAGUUCUCAAAGGCUAAGUCCUCUGCUAUGGCCAUUUUCCAGCAAGUGUAAUGACAGCACAGCCCUGGCUUCAGGGCCAUGGGUAAGUGGGACACUUACUGGAAGGACCUUGGGGACACGUGCUUCUGCUGAGCUAGCAGAAAGGAGGCAAUGUGUGUGUGUGAGAUCGUGCACAGGCAGGAAAAGGUCAGUUGUAUCAAACUCAGUGAUGAAUGAUUAGAAAUCCUCUAGGGGCCCAAGUCAGAUGACAGACUUCGCUAGAAAAAUACUUUGUCUUAAUUAGGUAUCGGUAUUAAUAUUUGAUCUGAUAUUCUGUUGUAUUUCUUCCCCCAGCAAGUGGGACCUGAGUGGUCUCAGUUGUGCUGGGAGAUACUGAAUCACCUCCAAGCAAUGGGAGGUCCCUUGCUCUGUGUUCUGCAUUCCCAUCUGAGGUAGCCCAUCAGGGCCUACCUUGUGGAGCUGCCACCAAGGUGCACCUGUGCCCAGGUACUUCUGCAAGUAUCACAGCCCUCAAAUAAAGGAGUUGGAGCUGAAGUCACCAUGGGGCAGAAGAUUGCGAAGGGCAGGUGACAGCCUGAGCACAGAGCUGCCUCUCUUUCCAGCACGUGUUUGGUGUCAGCUCAAAGCCGAUGAAGAAGGCCCUGAGCCAAAGAGGCAUUUAAGCAAGUGCUUAACAGUUAAGCGUUUAAACAGUGACUUCUGUGGGCUCACACAAAUGCCUAGAGUUGGCUAACUUUAAACUGAAGUGCUUGGAUGGCUUAAAGAAGGGUAAGCAGGAGGAGGACCACCACAUGAGGCAAAGAGUGUAGCCUUGUAGCUGUGCCUGUCAUUUUGUUUCGGUACUGCAGGUUGGUUGGGAUGGGGCUGUCAGGAUGUGGGCUAUAGCACAGGAAAAAUAUAUCCUGAAGUGUGACUUGCACCUUGAUGCUCAGCUCUUUCAAGUGCCCUGUGUGCAAUCCUGCCCUGCAUUUGAGCAAGUCACAACAGGAUGUCUGAGGAGAUGGGGAAGGGGGUGGAGACAGAGUGAAGGCCCUGCUGGGGCUGCACCAGGGCAUAGGGAGGGAUGAGCCCUGCUCUGUUUGAAGCGUUAUAUAUAAUCCCUUCAGAUGGCAUUAGCGCCUUGGACAGCAGCAGCCCUAUAAUCAAGCCUUCCGCUUGCAGGGGCCUAUGCUUUGGCAUGAUGUUUAAAUCUCAUUUGUGUAAUGCCAGGCUGCAAUUCCUGCCGAAGGAUUACCCUCUUUCUUUAGUGUCCCUGAGUGGCAGCACACAAAGAGCUCAAACUGUUGUGGGCAGUGACAUGCCUCAGGACAUCGGCCUGUGCCAAAUGGGGAUGAGUUUACCCUUGUUUACUGGAGCUUCUGCUGGACUGAUGUAUUUUUAUAUUUCUCCUGUCCUCCUUUUUAUUAAUGCCCAAGUCCCAGGAAAGGCAGUACUCAGAGAUGAGCGCUUGCUUAGGGAUUAGGGAGGAAUGAUCCUACCUAAGGAAGAGAGAGAAGAGACCUCAUGGUGGCUGCAGCUCCUCACAGGGAGCAGGGCUCUCUGAUGGGCUGAGGUUUAUGACUGUGUCCCAGUGCAAUUAUGUGCCUUGUUUAUGCUGGACUCCCAGCUCUCCAAGUGAUGGAGCCAGACCCCAAGAGGGAGAGGAGGCACAGGAUGCCCUUGUGAAACCCUGUGCAUUGUGCCUGUCCUGCUCAUGUGAGUCUGAAUGAAGCCAAAGCAAAAACAACAACAACUUUUAUUUUAGCAAAGGCUUAUCUUCUCUAUUUUAAGCUGGUAAAAACAUUGUAAGGGAGUGAAUCAGGAGCCACUUUUAGUUCCUGUUGCCCGCUGCCUUUCCUCUAUGGCA